CUAUUACUAGGAUUUGCAUUUUGAUAAUUAUAUGAAAAUAGCUGCUCCCUAUUACAUUUUCUUAGCAGUUCAUUUCGGUAAUUAUGGAAAUGUUCAAAUGUACAUAAUAA